rnacentral:sRNA from 1 species
GCUGGGCAUGGUGGCUCAUCCCUGUAAUCUCAGCUACUCGGGAGGCUGAGGCAGGAGAAUUGCUUGAACCCGGGAGGCAGAGGUUGCAGUGAGCUGAGAUCGCACCACUGCACUCCAGCCUGGGUGACAGCAAGACUCUGUCUCAAAAAAAAAAAAAAAAAAGGAAGCAGUGAGCGUGAACACCCUUGUUUCAUUCCGUUCUUUUUUUUUUUUUUUUUUGAGAUGGAGUCUUGCUCUGUCGCCCAGGCUGGAGCGCAGUGGAGCGAUCUCGGCUCACUGCAAGCUCUACCUCCCAGGUUCAUGCCAUUCUCCUGCCUCAG